UUCUUAGGUACCGUAAACCAUCGACUAGAAUACGGCGCAAAUGAAGGUUCCAAUAUUUUCAUCUUUAUCUUUUCUUUUAAUAGUUCAACCAAUUUAAGUAAAUGUACCCUCGGUAUCGGAAUCGGUCUUAGAUUCCAAGUUACAUGUGGUAUAGUGAAGAUAACCAUAGGUGUUACAAUAUUUGAAUCCACACACCCAAUUUCAUGAGACUCGAAGGCAAACGAUCUACCUUGUUUAGCCAACACCUUUUUGAAGCAAGUAAUUUC
rnacentral:lncRNA from 1 species